rnacentral:rRNA from 1 species
AAUCAACGCUGGCGGCGUGCCUCAGACAUGCAAGUCGAACGAUUAAAGCUCUCUUCGGAGAGUGUAUAGAGUGGCGCACGGGUGAGUAACACGUAAGUAAUCUACCUUUGAGUGGGGAAUAACAGUCGGAAACGGCUGCUAAUACCGCAUAACGGCAGCGGCACCGCAAGGUGACAGUUGUUAAAGGAGCAAUCCGCUUAAAGAGGAGCUUGCGGCAGAUUAGCUUGUUGGUAAGGUAACGGCUUACCAAGGCUACGAUCUGUAUCCGGUCUAAGAGGACGGUCGGACACACUGACACUGAAUAACGGGUCAGACUCCUAC